UCAGCCACUACAGAGAAAACAAUGAACUCAACACAGAAGGACCAACAUGGAGCGAGAAGUCAGCGCUCUCAGGAGGCCGACAAACCUCACAGAAGAAAGAGAGAGAAAACAUACACCUGUGACGAGUGUGGAAAGGGUUUUACUGGGAAGGAUAAACUAAAACAGCAUCAGGUCAUCCACACUGGAGAGAGACCGUUCAGCUGUGACUUGUGUGGAAAGUCUUUUUCCUGGAAGCGUUCCCUAAAAUCACACCAACUCAUCCACAGUGGAGUUAAAGCGUACAGCUGUGAUCAGUGUGGCAGAGCUUUUACUCACAGUAGCAGCUUACAGAAGCAUCUAGUUACCCACUCUGGAAUUAAGGCAUACAGCUGUGACGAGUGUGGAAAGGAUUUUACUAGGAAGAAUUCACUAGAACAGCAUCAGGUCAUCCA